rnacentral:rRNA from 1 species
AUUUAGAGUGCCAGAUGGAUAGCUGUAUGUGCGUGAACGUCACCUAGCGACGAUUCCUAGCUGGUGGAGAGAGAUGCAGGCACACUCGAUCGAGACCGGUCCUGCUCUUACCGGAGGCAGCAGUGGGAUAUUGCCCCAUGGCGCAGCUUGAUGCAGCAUGUCGCGUGUAUGAUGAUGCCUUCGGCUGUAACGUACUUCAGCGAGGGAGGAAGGCGUUGUGGUUAAUAAUCCUCAGCGAUUGACGUUACCGCAGAAAGAAGCACCGGCUAACUCCGUGCAGCAGCGCGGUAAUACGGAGCGGUGCCAAGCGUUAAUCGGAAAUACUGGGCGUAAAGCGCACGCAGGCGGUCCUGAUUAAGUCAGAUGUGAAAUCCCCGGGCUCAACCUGGGACCUGCAUUUGAAACUGGUAGGGCUUGAGUCUCGUAGAGGGGGGUAGAAUUCCAGGUGUAGCGGUGAAAUGCGUAGAGAUCUGGAGGAAUACCGGUGGCGAAGGCGGCCCCCUGGACGAAGACUGACGCUCAGGUGCGAAAGCGUGGGGAGCAAACAGGAUUAGAUACCCUGGUAGUCCACGCCGUAAACGAUGUCGACUUGGAGGUUGUGCCCUUGAGGCGUGGCUUCCGGAGCUAACGCGUUAAGUCGACCGCCUGGGGAGUACGGCCGCAAGGUUAAAACUCAAAUGAAUUGACGGGGGCCCGCACAAGCGGUGGAGCAUGUGGUUUAAUUCGAUGCAACGCGAAGAACCUUACCUGGUCUUGACAUCCAGAGAAUCCUGCAGAGAUGCGGGAGUGCCUUCGGGAACUCUGAGACAGGUGCUGCAUGGCUGUCGUCAGCUCGUGUUGUGAAAUGUUGGGUUAAGUCCCGCAACGAGCGCAACCCUUAUCCUUUGUUGCCAGCGGUUCGGCCGGGAACUCAAAGGAGACUGCCG